AUGUCGACAGAGUUUGAUCCUGGCUCAGAUUGAACGCUGCGGCAGGCUUAACACAUGCAAGUCGAGCGGUAACAUUUAUAGCUUGCUAGAAGAUGACGAGCGGCGGACGGGUGAGUAAUACUUAGGAAUNUACCUAGUAGUGGGGGAUAGCACGGGAAAACUCGUAUUAAUWCCGCAUACGACCUACGGGAGAAAGGGGGCAGUUUACUGCUCUCGCUAUUAANAUGAGCCUAAGUCAGAUUAGCUAGAUGGUGGGGUAAAGGCCUACCAUGGCGACRAUCUGUAGCUGGNCUGACAGGAUGAUCAGCCACACCGGGACUGAGACACGGCCCGGACUCCUACGGGAGGCAGCAGUGGGGAAUAUUGGACAAUGGGGKAAACCCUGAUCCAGCCAUGCCGCGUGUGUGAAGAAGGCCUUUUGGUUGUAAAGCUCUUUAAGCAGUGAASAAGACUCCAUGGUUAAUACCCAUGGACGAUGACNUUAGCUGCAGAAUAAGCACCGGCUAACUCUGUGCCAGCAGCCGCGGU
rnacentral:rRNA from 1 species